ACCUUGAGAAAUGGAUGCUGGGCCUGCCUCACCUCCACUUCUCUGUCUCUGUCGCCCUUGCAGGCCAGCCUUUCACGUCGCCUCCACAGACAUGGGCUGCAGUGCUGGUGUGAACCAUGGCAGGGCUGAUGCUUCUGGAUUUCAGAAAGAAGAAAGCAACAGACCUUUCUGAGCAUUUCCUUUUGCCCCGAGCUGGCCUCUACUGUUUGGGAGACUGUACAUUUGUAAGAGGUCCCAUGUAAUGGCUUUGAGGAUUCAGGUGAAGGCGGGUGAAGAGAAGCCUAGUGUGAACUCAGAUAUGCAGGUCUCCCGAGGACACCAAUCAUGUGGAAUCUGUUUCACAGAGACGAGCUACUUUAAUCAAAAAUUGGAAGGCACGGCCCAGUCUUGGGAUUUUCUUGCUCUGACUCAAAUACAAAGUGAGCAGCUGGUUUAUGGCCCAGCAGGAGCCAGAGGCGACCCACCGACUUCCCAAUCGAGAGCUCUUCCCACCCCGCAGCACGUGCCACAGAAGACCUGAAGUUGAGAGUCUCUCAGAGCGGUUGUGAGUGCACCCUGGAGGCAGGUGGCUUUGAGUUUGGAUUUCAGCUCUGCUCUGACUAGCCCUGUGACUUCCAGAGAGGUUAUGACCUUCCUGGGUCUCCAGUGUUUCAUGUGCAAAAUGCAGGCCACAGCGUUUCUGUUGCAAUAUUGCUGUGUUUAAAUGAGACUGUGUGUUUGAAACGCAUCUUGCAGUGCCUGGGGUGCGGCACCUACCCAUAGUAUGAAUAAACAAUAGUUUAAUUUUACA
rnacentral:lncRNA from 13 species